UAGGGAAUCUUCCGCAAUGGACGCAAGUCUGACGGAGCAACGCCGCGUGAGUGAAGAAGGAUUUCGGUUCGUAAAACUCUGUUGUUAGAGAAGAACAGCGCAUAGAGUAACUGUUAUGCGUGUGACGGUAUCUAACCAGAAAGCCACGGCUAACUACGUGCCAGCAGCCGCGGUAAUACGUAAGUGGCAAGCGUUGUCCGGAUUUAUUGGGCGUAAAGCGAGCGCAGGCGGUCAAUUAAGUCUGAUGUGAAAGCCCCCGGCUCAACCGGGGAGGGUCAUUGGAAACUGGUUGACUUGAGUGCAGAAGAGGAGAGUGGAAUUCCAUGUGUAGCGGUGAAAUGCGUAGAUAUAUGGAGGAACACCAGUGGCGAAGGCGACUCUCUGGUCUGUAACUGACGCUGAGGUUCGAAAGCGUGGGUAGCAAACAGG
rnacentral:rRNA from 1 species